rnacentral:rRNA from 1 species
AGCAGCCGCGGUAAUUCCAGCUCCAAUAGCGUAUAUUAAAGUUGUUGCAGUAAAAAGCUCGUAGUUGAAUUUCGGGAUCAAGGAAUCGGUCAUGCCUCGGUAUGUACUGGUUUUAUUGGUUCUCACCUUCUAAAGAACCAUGAUGUCAUUCAUUUGAUGUUAUGGGGAAUUAGGACUGUUACCUUGAAAAAAUUAGAGUGUUUAAAGCAAGCUUACGCUUGAAUACAUUAGCAUGGAAUAAUGAAAUAGGACAUCCGAUUCUAUUUUGUUGGUUUCUAGGAUCGAUGUAAUGAUUAAUAGGGAUAGUUGGGGGCAUUAGUAUUCAAUUGUCAGAGGUGAAAUUCUUGGAUUUAUUGAAGACUAACUACUGCGAAAGCAUUUGCCAAGGAUGUUUUCAUUAAUCAAGAACGAAAGUUAGGGGAUCGAAGACGAUCAGAUACCGUCGUAGUCUUAACCAUAAACUAUGCCGACUAGGGAUCGGAUGAUGUUUAUUUUUUAGUGACUCA